rnacentral:rRNA from 1 species
UACGUAGGGUGCGAGCGUUAAUCGGAAUUACUGGGCGUAAAGCGUGCGCAGGCGGUUCGUUAAGACAGAUGUGAAAUCCCCGGGCUUAACCUGGGGAACUGCAUUUGUGACUGGCGAGCUAGAGUAUGGCAGAGGGGGGUAGAAUUCCACGUGUAGCAGUGAAAUGCGUAGAGAUGUGGAGGAAUACCGAUGGCGAAGGCAGCCCCCUGGGCCAAUACUGACGCUCAUGCACGAAAGCGUGGGGAGCAAACAGG